AAGAGAAAGUUUGUACUGCAGAGUCUUUUUGGAAGGACCACUCAGAUCUACAGAAUUACUCCAUACUUAAACCAAGACAAGAGCACAGCCACUAAAUCCCAAGACCUCCAUCUCUUUCAAGAAUGAUGAAGACGGAGGAGAAAAAGGAAUGGCUGAAGGAGAGGCAAAACUGUAGGAGCAGGACUGCUAUAAAAACCCAACGAUCAGGAGUCAAAAGCCAACCAUAGCCCAUCAGCUCCCAGAGCAGAAAGUUCCUUCUCUGCAUGACAAUGAAGAAUUAACAAGAUACCAAAAAUAUAUAUAUACAUUAAAGUCACAGAAAAAAGCA